rnacentral:snRNA from 1 species
GUGCUUGCUUUGGCAGUACAUAUACUAAAAUUGGAACAAUACAGAGAUUAGCAUGGUCCCUGUGCAAGUAUAACAUGAAAAUUCAUGAAGCAUUUCAUAUUAAA